UACGAAGGGUGCAAGCGUUAAUCGGAAUUACUGGGCGUAAAGGGUGCGUAGGCGGUCCUAUAAGUCAGCGGUGAAAUCCCGACGCUCAACGUCGGAAUUGCCGUUGAUACUGCAGGACUUGAGUUCGAUCGAGGUCGUGGAACGCGUAGUGUAGCGGUGAAAUGCUUAGAUAUUACGCAGAACACCGAUUGCGAAGGCAGAUGGCUAGGUCGCGACUGACGCUGAGGCACGAAGUGCGGGGAUCAAACAGG
rnacentral:rRNA from 1 species